rnacentral:rRNA from 1 species
GACGAACGCUGGCGGCGUGCUUAACACAUGCAAGUCGAACGGACAGGCCCUGCUUUUGUGGGGUGCUCGAGUGGCGAACGGGUGGGUAACACGUGAGUAACCUGCCCUUGACUUUGGGAUAACUUCAGGAAACUGGGGCUAAUACCGGAUAGGAGCUCCUGCUGCAUGGUGGGGGUUGGAAAGUUUCGGCGGUUGGGGAUGGACUCGCGGCUUAUCAGCUUGUUGGUGGGGUAGUGGCUUACCAAGGCUUUGACGGGUAGCCGGCCUGAGAGGGUGACCGGCCACAUUGGGACUGAGAUACGGCCCAGACGCGUACGGGAGGCAGAAGUGGGGAAUAUUGCACAAUGGGCGGAAGCCUGAUGCAGCAACGCCGCGUGCGGGAUGACGGCCUUCGGGUUGUAAACCGCUUUCGCCUGUGACGAAGCGUGAGUGACGGUAAUGGGUAAAGAAGCACCGGCUAACUACGUG